UGAAAGCUACUUUCACAUACUUUUCCCAAUACAUAAUAUGGAUUGUUUUUCUCAAUAAGUAUAACUUUUAUGUUAUUUAUUUAAUUGGGUUCUCUAUCUAGUUUUAGGACUUGCAUGAAAAUCUGAUCACAUUUUAGGUCCUAUUUAUGCAGGAAGAAAAUUCUACAGGGUGCAUACUAACGUGUUAAACUGGCUUGCAGUUUCUCAAAUUCUUUUUGAAAAAGGGAAUACAUUGAUUGUUUUCUAAUGAGCAUUCAAGUUAGUAUGGUUUUAUAGACUCAUAGCUAGUUUGCAAACAAAUUCCUACAAGCAACAGAAUGAAAAUGAUUUUACCUUUUAUUGGCCAAGAACACUCCCAGCAUGAUAUUAUGCCUUAAAGCUAUUUUAGACUAUUUAAAAUGCAGUAACAAACCAGUCUUUAAAAAUCAGGAUAGUGCAGCCUGCACAACAGAAUGGAAUAUUACUGUAGGUAAAGUAAUUCCUCACCAAAUAUUUUGGUGCCACCAAAAACUUAUGUAAUUUAAUCAGGAAUCCAUGAACUAUACGGAUAAAACCAAUGCAUUUUACCCAAUCUUUGCUUAACAAAAUUUCACUUCAAAUGUUUUCCAAAAACCAAGCUCUUUUUGUGCAUCUAGGAGAGGUGGUGUUUAUCCUUUCAAGCUUGAGGUGCCACAUUUAAGACGUCUCGAGGGAAUGGGAACAUGUUCAGCCUUCAGGACAAAUUUAAAUUUUGGAAGGCAACUUCUGUUUGCCAUUUACAAGAUUGUCCAGGAACGUUGCAAUUACGGAGUUCUCUACCUCAGAAGGUAUGGAUAUUCAGAUCGUGAGAAUAUUCAAAAUUGAUCGAUGAACGAGUGAACAUUAAGGGAAUAUGGCAAUCAAUCAGGUGGGGAAGUGGAAGAGGCACAUGAUCAACCACGACUUUGCUUCUUUGAUAGUACAGACUGGAGGGCAUAGGCAGUACUCUUCCUUCUGUUAAUGUAAAAUUCUACAGCCUGCAAAUAUGAAACUAAAAUGCUGGAAUGACACAUCUAUCUGUAGAAAGUUAGAGUUAACAUUUCUAAAACUCAGCAUUAAUCUAAAAUGUUGCUUCCUCACAGAUUAUGUUUUCAGCAGUUUCUGUUUCCAAUUUAUGUUGUGAAUAUAAGCAGUGGAUAAUUAUUAAUGUGAAUUGUACCUUGGGGCAUUUUGCAUUCCAGGACAAUAUUCUUUGCCAAAUGAGAACAAGGAGGAAUUAGUGGUCCAACAACGGUUAGCUGAAAUACUGCAUGCCAUAUAAUCCACAAAGCUACAACUCUUAACUUACAGGGCUGAAGACAGGUCGCAUUUGGGAAUGAACAACAGCAAAUCAAUUGAAGUCAUUUUUGGAAGUGGAACAUUAAAAACUUCCCCAGAAUGAUACAAUAUGGAACAGGCCCUUCCAGCCUAGCAUGCAAAGCUACCCAGCGAAUGUAAGGAAAGAGUUAAUUGGGAUAACCGCUUGAAAGGACAUGCUGAAAGGAAAUUGUAGUUGAAGACAAAAUGGUGUCAUCUUGGAAUAUGGUGACAGCCUGGAGAUUCUGGAGGUGUGCACAACUGUACAUCCCUGAGAUUUGAUAAUGAGGUCUUCUUCCUGUCAGACCUUUCCUAAAUUAUGUGCCUGUGCUGAAGGUUGUAAGAGACGGUGUGGGGGGGGGGGGGGGGGUGGAGGUGAGAAGAGUUAGGAGUACAUCAAGUCAGAGAUGUGUGAGAAAGGUUGUCUGAACUGUGGGUCUCCUUCAGCAUUGUAUAGAGCUGCUUAUUAAGUAUUAUUUACUGUACUACUACAUCAAUAAUCAUUUGUUUCUCUUUCUGUAU